rnacentral:tRNA from 1 species
GAACAUGAUUUGUGUUAGCUUUGCAAAAGCUAAGUAGAAUUAUUUAGUAAUUCCAUGUUUU